CCCGUCCCCCCGCAUUGACCUAGCAAAGUUUCCUUUCCCCAAUCAAUCGCCAAUCCCCCUCCUCAAUCUCUCCUCCUAUUUUCUCCUCUCGCCGCCGUUUCGCCUGGCAAAUCUGCAUGCCAAGCCGCGAUGCCAUGCCAUGGCAAGGCCAGGAUGGGUCUGAAUUUGUCGUGUCAUAUCCACUCGAGUCGCGAGUUGGCCGGACGCCGAGGAGAGUAGCCGCGGAUCUGACUGCAUGACGCGGUCAGCGGGCCUGGAUUCCUACGAAAGGAGCCGCCUUUGAUCUAUAAUCGGAGGAAUAUGAAGGAUUAAAUACCUUAACAACUGCCAAGGCACCAUUGUUCUCUACGGUGCAGAAGCGAGCCUAAAGUGCCGCUCAUUUUGGUUUAUAAUCGGAUUAGUCUUUGUUCAGCUGAUCUGCGCAAUCCAAUACCGAGUCGUGAAGGAACAUGCUGAUGAUGCAUUCUAUGAAUUGCAGAAUCCCCAACAGCAAAUUCAGGCCUAUGCCUUUGAUGGUAAACUAUUAACAUUGAGCAAUUAAAUAGUUGCCCAUAUCAAAUUAUUGACUCAAAGCUUAAUCACUUUCCCCUCGAACUUAGUGGUCCUGGCCCUAGUUCCAAGAAUGAAUCUUGAUGACCUUUUUGAGUAAAAGAAUGAUGUGGUGAAGACUGUACUUGAGGAGCUUGAAAAGGUAACUCAAGUGCCUGUUUUUACUGAUGUUGGAUAUUCCAUCGAACAUAUUCUUAUGGUUGAUAUCAUCCCUGAUACUUCUGUACGCAGAGCAAUGAAUGACAUAAAUGCAGCCCAAAGUCUUCAGCUUGCAAGUGUCUACAAAGGGGAAGCAGAAAAGAUUCUUCUGGUGAAGAAAUCAGAAGCAGAGGCAAAAAUACCUUUCUGGUGAUGGCAUUGCUAAACAGAGGCAGGCUGAUGGCCUGAGACAGUACCACAGCAAAAGAAGUCAUGGACCUAAUCAUGGUCACGCAGUACUUUGACACCAUAAAAGAACUUGGGGAUGGCUCGAAGAACACAACGGUGUUCAUACCUCAAGGCCCAGGCCAUGUCAAGGAUAUCAGCGAGCAAAUCCGGAAUGGUAUGAUGGAAGCGUCAAGCAACAAUGUGUAAAUUGUAGCGAUUCACAGAACAAGGUUGGGGAUGGUUCAGAUGGGAGGAGCCUGUUGUUUAUAAUGAAUAUAUUACCUUUUGUUUAUAGCCUGUUGUCAAGCAACACUAGCACCUUUUGUUUGCACACCUACCUGGAUGAUAGAAUAUGUAGUUUUGGAAUAACAAAUAAUGUUUGGAAGGUAUAAAAGGAACAGGAUAUAUAUUAAGUUAAGGAAACUGCAUCGAUUUAUACACAUUAAAA